rnacentral:snRNA from 1 species
UUACUUAUGGUACCGUAGUAAA